AUCAUCAUCAUCAUUAUAUUUAUAUAUCAACUUCGAUUUGAAAUUGCAAGGCAAUGUACAAUAAAAAACACACAGUACAAAAUAAAUCAGCAGACAAUAGACAAGGACAGACAUAAAAUUUAUAAAUGCAACCAAAUUCUGGUCAAUUCUUAGGGCCUCUUGGUGCAGCCUUUGUAUUUUGUAUCCUCCAUAGCACCCGUCCAAUCCGUAUAAGGGAAGUCAGUGUAGCCCUUCAGUUCUCCUGUUCUUCCAGGGCUGUAUGAACAGUUGGCUUAAGAAAGCAGCCCUUAUUGGGCUUUCAGCAAUCUUCUCUCUCUUUACUGCCUCACCACUAUUUGAAGUACAGCCAAGAGAAUGAUGCCAAGCUACAGCUCUGCUUGCUUUUAGCUACAUAGCUCACUACUGAGAAGGAUGGGUGAGUGGGAGGGCAUUUUAAUUCUGAUGGUGGCAAUGAGGAAAUAUAUGCUUGGUUUUUUUUAAAGACACAAGAUUGUGUAUGCACAGUGAUGCCUGCUCAUUAAUAGCAAUCAUGCAUGCUAUCCAGCAGGGGCCCAUAACAUGUAUACAACCAUGUGCCAUCUCAAAGAAUUUUUUUUUCUGGUCACCUAACUUUUGAUACCAGGGACACCCAGAGAAGGAGCUCUGAUUACCUUAAUAUCCAGACAGUGGGAGCUUGCAGUCCUUUCAGAUGCCCCUUCAGUACAUCUCCACAUUUUACCACUGCUCAGCUGACUUUCCAGAGCUCUGCAAUGGCCAGACCAAAUAAGAAUGACUAUAAAGAUUGUAAUUCUAAGCACACAUGAGAGUAAGCCCAUUUCAAUCAGUGUUCCCUAAUUGGUCAGAAAUAAGUUCAUAUAAUCCCUCCACAGUCAAGAAGCAAGGUCAUUUCUCCUCUCUGUCUUUUGUCUUGUUAUUUAUUUUCAAUUUUAUUUAUUAAAUUUGUAUACCACCCUUCAUCUGACGAUCACAACAUACAAAAUGAAAACAAAAAACACAUCAUAAUCAUCCUCAUUCUCAUCAACAAACAAACCAAUAACCAGUAAGGAGGAACAUGUGAUCUUCGUUGGACUCCAACUCCCACCAUUCCCAGCCAGCAGAACCAAUGGUCAGGGGGUGAAGGAAGUUGUAGUCCAGCAAGAGCCAAACAUCCCCCACCCCCUGCUUUAAGAUGUAGGUGAACAGUCAAUUUUUGUGUUGUAUCUGCCCAUCCAUGUCCAGCAAUAAUGGUGCCCAUCUCUGUUUCCAGCAAAAGCUAUUGAGCUGGACCCCUAAGCCAGCCAAAAAAGGAUGGAUCCCACCGUCCAUUUUUUUAUUUCAAAAGUCAGCCUGUUUGGUCGAGGUGGGCGAGUCUGAAUGGGGUCAAGAAAGGAGCAUGGUAGCGGGGACAUGCUGGAGACCCGCGAAAGGGGGUCCGUCCUCACCCUGGACAAAGUGGUGAAGUGAAACACCAACAAGGAGACCUGGCUGGUCAUCAGUGGGCGUGUCUACGACUUCCUCAGUGAGCAUCCAGGUGGAGAGGAGAUUCUGCUCGAACAAGCUGGUAGAGAUGCCACUGAGAACUUUGAAGAUGCUGCCCACUCUUUGGAUGCCCGAGAGAUGCUUGACCAAUACCUUAUAGGAGAGGUUCAUCCAUAUGACAGUAAUCCUAAUGUCUCCAAGGCUCCAAACAAGUCUCCCUCGAAAGAAUUAAGUUUCUGGACAGUCUGGCUGAUCCCUGUUUUGGGAGCCAUAGUCUUGGGAUCGAUGUAUUGCUACUACAUGAUGUAUGGGAAAUUCUCCUGAUUUGACCUUGCUGAACCUUUAGGACUGGAAACCAUGCCUUGCCACUGAAAAUGGGGUUUUACUAAAUUCUGAUGAACACCUAGGUUUUGUCCUUCACUUGUAUCAGCCAGUCCAGCAGCCCUGCUGUCUGCAAAGCUAAGCAGGAAUUUGGUGGGGCUCACUGCUAUCUUUCUUGUAACUGCAGAAACAGCAACUUCCUGCCAUUCCAUGGCAUGGCAUGGCAUUUCUGACACCAUUGACCAUGAGUCACUUUUCAUUCAGCAGCUUCUGGUUUGUCAUGAUGCUGCCUCUGACCCAUCAUGAAUGAGAUGGCAUGCUGUCAACAUUUCUCUUUAGCAGACCAGCAAGAGAAAUGGCUCCACUGGCCCAGCGCAGACUGGGAACGGCGGUACACCUGCCUCUUCUCGGGUGUUUUCCUUCAGCUUCUUUCCGUACAUGGUUUUUUGAAACGGUUAAAUGGGU